rnacentral:rRNA from 1 species
UCUGGCGGCAGCGGUGGUCCCACCUGACCCCAUGCCGAACUCAGAAGUGAAACGCCGUAGCGCCGAUGGUAGUGUGGGGUCUCCCCAUGCGAGAGUAGGGAACUGCCAGAC